rnacentral:rRNA from 1 species
GACGAACGCUGGCGGCGUGCUUAACACAUGCAAGUCGAACGGAAAGGCCCUGCUUUUGUGGGGUGCUCGAGUGGCGAACGAGUGAGUCACACGUGAGUAACCUGCCCUUCACUUUGGGAUAUCUUCAGGUAACUGGGGCUCCUACCGGAUAGGAGCUCCUGCUGCAUGGUGGGGGUUGGAUAUUUUCGUUGGUUGGGGAUGGACUCGCGGCUUAUCAGCUUGUUGGUUGGGUAGUUGCUGACCAAGGCUUGGAUGGGUAGCCAGCCGGUGAGGGUGACCGGCCACAUGGGGACGGAGAGACGGACCAGACUGAUACGGGAGGCAGGAGGGGGGAAGAUAGCACAAUGGGCGGAAGGCAGAUUCAGCAACGCCGCGUGCGGGAUGACGGCCGUCGGGUGGUAAACCGCUUUCGCCUGAGACGAAGCGAGAGUGACGGUAAUGGGUAAAGAAGCACCGGCUAACUACGUG